UUGCUUCCACAGCACAGUUACUAAAAUUGGAUCCAUAAAAAGAUUAGCAUGGUCCCUUCCCAGGGAUGACGCGCACAUUUGUGAAGCGCUCCUUAUUUUU
rnacentral:snRNA from 1 species